rnacentral:rRNA from 1 species
GAUAAACGCUGGCGGCGUGCAUAACACAUGCAAGUCGAACGAUGAAACUUAGAUGAUUUCUUCGGAAUGAACUUAAGUGGAUUAGUGGCGAACGGGUGAGUAACACGUGAGUAACCUGCCUUACACAAGGGGAUAGCCUCUGGAAACGGAGAAUAAUACCCUAUAAAGUCUAAUCAGCUCCUGCUGGAAAGACCAAAGAUUUAUCGGUGUAAGAUGGACUUGCGUCUGAUUAGCUAGUUGGUGAGAUAAAAGCUCACCAAGGCGACGAUCAGUAGCCGGCUUGAGAGAGUGUACGGCCACAUUGGGACUGAGACACGGCCCAAACUCCUACGGGAGGCAGCAGUGGGGAAUUUUGCACAAUGGGGGAAACCCUGAUGCAGCGACGCCGCGUGAUUUAGAAGGCCUUCGGGUUGUAAAAAUCUUUUUUACGGGAUGAAAAUGACAGUACCGUAAGAAUAAGGUCCGGCUAAAUACGUG